GAUGAACGCUGGCGGCGUGCCUAAUACAUGCAAGUCGAGCGAACGGACGAGAAGCUUGCUUCUCUGAUGUUAGCGGCGGACGGGUGAGUAACACGUGGAUAACCUACCUAUAAGACUGGGAUAACUUCGGGAAACCGGAGCUAAUACCGGAUAAUAUUUUGAACCGCAUGGUUCAAAAGUGAAAGACGGUCUUGCUGUCACUAUAGAUGGAUCCGCGCUGCAUUAGCUAGUUGGUAAGGUAACGGCUUACCAAGGCAACGAUGCAUAGCCGACCUGAGAGGGUGAUCGGCCACACUGGAACUGAGACACGGUCCAGACUCCUACGGGAGGCAGCAGUAGGGAAUCUUCCGCAAUGGGCGAAAGCCUGACGGAGCAACGCCGCGUGAGUGAUGAAGGUCUUCGGAUCGUAAAACUCUGUUAUUAGGGAAGAACAUAUGUGUAAGUAACUGUGCACAUCUUGACGGUACCUAAUCAGAAAGCCACGGCUAACUACGUG
rnacentral:rRNA from 1 species